GGCUGCCAUUUGAUCUUUACUCCAAGAUAAUUAUAUCUUCAAUAAAGGGAGACUCAGCUCUGAUACCACUUGUUGUCCCUUGAGGCAACCCAAGAGGGGGGGUGAAUUGGGUUUAUAAAAAAUUUAAUGGCAAAGACAAGAAAUUAGAAGAGAAUGGGGAAGAGAAAAAUCAACACAAAGAUUUAUAGAGGUUCAGCUAUCCAAGCCUACGUCCUCUCCUCAAGGUCCACUUGAGAGUUCAACUCCACUAUCA
rnacentral:lncRNA from 1 species